rnacentral:rRNA from 1 species
CCUACGGGUGGCUGCAGUGAGGAAUAUUGGUCAAUGGACGCGAGUCUGAACCAGCCAAGUAGCGUGAAGGAUGACUGCCCUAUGGGUUGUAAACUUCUUUUAUAAAGGAAUAAAACGAGGCACGUGUGCCUUUUUGCAUGUACUUUAUGAAUAAGGAUCGGCUAACUUCGUGCCAGCCGCCGCGGUAAUACGGAGGAUGCGAGCGUUCACCGUAUUUUUUGGGUUUAAAGGGUGCGCAGGCGGCUGUUUAAGUCAGCGGUAAAAUCGUGGGGCGCAACCCCAUCCAGCCGUUGAAACUGGGGAUCUAGAGUGUGCGAGAGGUAUGCGGAAUGCGUGGUGUAGCGGUGAAAGUCAUAGAUAUCACGCAGAACCCCGAUUGCGAAGGCAGCAUACCGGUGCACAACUGACGCUCAGGCACGAAAGCGUGGGUAUCGAACAGGAUUAGAUACCCCAGUAGUC